UGCAAGUCGAACGAUGAACCUCCUUCGGGAGGGGAUUAGUGGCGAACGGGUGAGUAACACGUGGGCAAUCUGCCCUGCACUCUGGGACAAGCCCUGGAAACGGGGUCUAAUACCGGAUAUGACUCGGGAGGGCAUCCUUCCGGGUGGAAAGCUCCGGCGGUGCAGGAUGAGCCCGCGGCCUAUCAGCUUGUUGGUGGGGUGAUGGCCUACCAAGGCGACGACGGGUAGCCGGCCUGAGAGGGCGACCGGCCACACUGGGACUGAGACACGGCCCAGACUCCUACGGGAGGCAGCAGUGGGGAAUAUUGCACAAUGGGCGAAAGCCUGAUGCAGCGACGCCGCGUGAGGGAUGACGGCCUUCGGGUUGUAAACCUCUUUCAGCAGGGAAGAAGCGCAAGUGACGGUACCUGCAGAAGAAGCGCCGGCUAACUACGUGCCAGCAGCCGCGGUAAUACGUAGGGCGCAAGCGUUGUCCGGAAUUAUUGGGCGUAAAGAGCUCGUAGGCGGCUUGUCGCGUCGGAUGUGAAAGCUCGGGGCUUAACCCCGGGUCUGCAUUCGAUACGGGCAGGCUAGAGUGUGGUAGGGGAGAUCGGAAUUCCUGGUGUAGCGGUGAAAUGCGCAGAUAUCAGGAGGAACACCGGUGGCGAAGGCGGAUCUCUGGGCCAUUACUGACGCUGAGGAGCGAAAGCGUGGGGAGCGAACAGGAUUAGAUACCCUGGUAGUCCACGCCGUAAACGUUGGGAACUAGGUGUUGGCGACAUUCCACGUCGUCGGUGCC
rnacentral:rRNA from 1 species